GUUAUUCACCAAGAUGAAAAAGCACACAGUGUCACUCCUAUUUUAAAGGCUCUACUCCCUGUUGAGCACACAGUUCCAAUAGCUUUGGGAGAUUGCAGUAACACAUUCAGUGUUUCAGGGCAGUGAAGCCCUAACUUUCCUUCUGGAUACUGAUGCGACAGAGAAAGCCGGAGCAUAUUACAGCCUGGCACUGAACAAGUGGCAGCUCAGCUUCCGUGAGCCGGAGGGACAGGGGUGCCGCUGGAUUGAAGCACUGCAGGGGUAUGGCUACUCCGUCCAGCACUGAGCUGCUGACCUGCACCAGAAUGCCCAUGCCUUGUCCCGGCGCCAGUGCAGGCACUGUGCACAGCUGGAGGAGAAGGAAGCACAGCAGACCCCAGAUGAGCAGAUAAUGUUGUUGACGCUGACACCCCGGGAUCCUUCAAGAAGCUGCUUGAUGAGAUUCUGGGAUCAAUAAGCUACUAACAACCAAACGAGCAAGAUGGGCUGCAUGGCCUCCUCUCGUUUGUAAACUUUCUUAUGUUCUUCUUACGCUCUUAUAAAGAACAGGAAGAGAAAGAACAAUUUAUAGAAAAAGCGAUAUUUAUUGAAAAUUAAAAACACAUUCUUAAAAGUUACAUUCCCUUCAAAAAACUGAAAAUGUAUGUAUACACAUCCUUUUCAGCUGUUUGUUUAUCGUGCAUGUGUCCAAAUACCUCUGCACAGACAUGAAGGUGGAACCGACAACCUUGAGAUUUGAUCCACAGACCACAUGUAUGAAAACUUCUCUAAAUAAAAUGAACUCUGUUACCCCUUGAACUGAUAAAGAAAGCAGGUUAAGAUUCUUAUCAUUGACCAAAUGUUUUGCUUUCCCGGUGCCCUACUGGGCUGAUAAUAAACCAGACUUGAUAAUAAUCUGACAAUACACAUUAGAACUGUGCAGAGUAACAAGUACUCAUAACAAGUAGUAUAAUUUAUACGCAUGUAAAAUCCUUUUAUUUUAAUUUGGGGCCAUAUUUUCAAUGUAAAAAAUGCAUGAAUUAAGAGCCAGUCCAGAGGGGAAGGACUGAGGGACCAUGAGCUUCAACCUGGCAGUCAUUCGACACUGCAGACAGUGAGUCACAUUAAACAUUCCACUGAGAUCAAACUCUUUUCAGAGACAGACUUUCACUUUAAAAAUGGUAUUUCCAAAUAAUUUGGAUAACAUGGAUUUUUCUGGGAACAUAUUUCUGGGGACGUAUGUGCAAAAGAAAAGUGAGAUAUUUUCUAUGUUUAACAAAUUCCCAAAUUUGUAUCUGACUUUCCAAAGUAUAUUUUUGGAAAAACAUGUAUGUCUGUAUUUUUAAGGCUGAAGAUGUCCAGAGUGGUUCUAUAAUUGUGUAUUGCAAUAACCAGCUAUGAGUCUUAGAUUGAACUUAGAUUUUAUUUGUCUUUCCAACUGUUGAGUAUAAAAAAACACCUGAAUAAUCACUUGAAACCUCCAAAUAACU